GGGCUGGGGCUCAGCGGUAGAGCACUUGCCUCGCACGUGCACGACCCUGGGUUCGAUCCCCAGCACCACA
rnacentral:tRNA from 1 species